UGGGUUUCAUCAUCUCAGCUUUCAGCGUCUCCCAUGCAGUGAAAUCUAGGAAAUAGUGCACGAAAUCGUCCCGUUGGUUUUUCGUUAUUUUGUUGUUGUGUAUAUUGUUGUUUGUCUCUUUAUACUUUUGCCAUGUCGUUGCCAGUUUGACUGAUGAGUUUGAAUCUCUCUUUGGCAUCUUUAGCCUCUUUUGUAGACGGAACACGCGUCUGUGAUAAUCAUUUAAAAGGUAUAUUUAUUGAUUUACUUAAGUAUUCUACUACCACCAUUGUAUAAAAUGAAUUGCAUAUGCAUUUGUACGCUAUACUUAUCUGUUUUGUAUUUGACACUUACAAG
rnacentral:lncRNA from 1 species